UACAGAGGGUGCAAGCGUUGCUCGGAUUUACUGGGCGUAAAGCGUGCGCAGACGGCUGAGCAAGUUGGACGUGAAAGCCCGGGGCUCAACCCCAGAACUGCGUUUAAUACUACUCGGCUUGAGUAUGAGAGAGGGAAGUGGAAUUCCUGGUGUAGAGGUGAAAUUCGUAGAUAUCAGGAGGAACACCAGCGGCGAAGGCGGCUUCCUGGCUCAUUACUGACGUUCAGGCACGAAAGCGUGGGGAGCAAACAGGAGUAGAUACCCUGGUAGUCCACGCCGUAAACGAUGCAUACUAGCUGUCGGGGGUAUAAACUCCUUCGGUAGCGUAGCUAACGCGUUAAGUAUGCCGCCUGGGGAGUACGGCCGCAAGGUUG
rnacentral:rRNA from 1 species